GUGUGCAGAGUAUGUGUGUGUUUGUACAUGUACGCAACGUGACUGUUUCCAGAGCGAAGAAAGGACGCUUUUGCUUGAGCACCUGGGCUGGAGGGGAGAGUUUGAAGAAAAUCCUGGAGAAGAUGUCUGUGCCUGUGGCUGUGAGGGGCCUGGGCCGAGUGUGAAUGUGCUGCACGGUGCAGCCACUGAGCCCUGUGAACUUCAACCCCGGCACUGUCUGGAAGUGAGAACCCGAGCUUUCUCCUGUCUCCCUGGCCACGGAACUCUAGAGUGCACUUGUGGACGUGGGUGCGACUGCCCCAGAGCCGGCAGCAGGAUGCCCCGGUGAUGUGGACUAGCCUGGCCCAGGCCCGC